GGGCCCGCACAAGCGGUGGAGCAUGUGGUUUAAUUCGAUGAUACGCGAGGAACCUUACCAGGGCUUAAAUGGAAAAUGACAGGGGCAGAGACGCCCCCUUCUUCGGACAUUUUUCAAGGUGCUGCAUGGUUGUCGUCAGCUCGUGCCGUGAGGUGUCAGGUUAAGUCCUAUAACGAGCGCAACCCCUACCGUUAGUUGCCAGCGAGUAAUGUCGGGGACUCUAACGGAACUGCCGGUGCAAACCGUGAGGAAGGUGGGGACGACGUCAAAUCAUCACGGCCCUUACGUCCUGGGCCACACACGUGCUACAAUGGUAGGUACAACGAGUCGCAAUACCGCGAGGUGGAGCAAAUCUCUUAAAGCUUGUCUCAGUUCGGAUAGGAGUCUGCAACUCGACUCCUUGAAGUUGGAGUCGCUAGUAA
rnacentral:rRNA from 1 species